AACGAACGCUGGCGGCAUGCCUAACACAUGCAAGUCGAACGAGACCUUCGGGUCUAGUGGCGCACGGGUGCGUAACGCGUGGGAACCUGCCCUUAGGUUCGGAAUAACUCCCCGAAAGGGGUGCUAAUACCGGAUAAUGUCUUCGGACCAAAGAUUUAUCGCCUUUGGAUGGGCCCGCGUUGGAUUAGCUAGUUGUUAGGGUAAAAGCCUACCAAGGCGACGAUCCAUAGCUGGUCUGAGAGGAUGAUCAGCCACACUGGGACUGAGACACGGCCCAGACUCCUACGGGAGGCAGCAGUGGGGAAUAUUGGACAAUGGGCGAAAGCCUGAUCCAGCAAUGCCGCGUGAGUGAUGAAGGCCUUAGGGUUGUAAAGCUCUUUUAACCGGGAUGAUAAUGACAGUACCGGGAGAAUAAGCUCCGGCUAACUCCGUG
rnacentral:rRNA from 1 species